CGCGUCGGUAACUUUGCGCCGAAACAUUUUCCCAUUAGCGACUAGCGCUACACGAAAGGUGGCGAAUUAACGAAUUUCCAACUGAAAAAUGGCGGUGUUUAUAUACGUGCACUCGUAAAUAAUGCAAUAUAGAACAGUAUAAAUGGUAUGUUUCCCCAAGAGAAACAACAAAACGAUCAGCAACGGCUGCUGGAAAGGAACGAUUGAUUGUUAUCCGAUAAUAGAAACAAAACAGGCCAGCGAACCGGCUAAUACGCCACUUCAAUUCCCAACGAUGACAGAAAGUUUACGUUACGAUGUUUGUUUAAUGGAAUGCAAUAAUAUUACGCGGGUAAUUAGCCAGUGCAUUUUCAAGUGUCAUCUUUUCGAAUGUAAAAAGUUUCGUGAUUGGUUCUCUUCAUGCUCGAAGACCGUCGCAUACAGAGAAUUCGAUAUGACGAUACUUCUGAUGUGAAUGCUACUAUUCUCGUUAGAAACAUAUACUCCUCGAGUAACUAAUUUCUAGAACGGUCCGAAAAAGUUAUGAAGUACUUUUCAAAAUGCAUCGCGUCGCUUCGUACAUCCAAAUGGGUUGAAAGACAUUUGUUUUGAGAUAUUUUUUUUAUCUUUUAUAAAGUUGAACAUUGAAAUGUGAAUAUUGUAAAAGGUAAUUAUCAAUCGCAAUGACUUAACAACAAAGACUUAAUAACAAACGGAAUCCCAUUAAACGAAAAAUAAUGCCGGUAUGUAAAGUAUUUCGGCAAUGCGAAAUACAUUUCCCUGGAAAUAUUUUUCUUUCAUUCAUUUCAUGGCAUCAAUGGCAAAGUAAAGAAGAUAGAAAAGAAGUAGUACGGGAACAGAUGAUUGAAAACGGGAGAGAAGGACGAAGAUAGGAUGAAGUUCACUCUGACAACUUGCUUCAAGCGUUUCUCAGGCUAAAUCCACGCCACAAGGAAGCAAGAGUUUCAUCUGAACGCGUCCUACCGCGACAUCAAAGAUGGCGUGCGGAGCACACAUUCUGUAAUGAGUUGAAUCGCGGGUAGA